rnacentral:rRNA from 1 species
CCCGGUGAUUAUGGCGAGGAGGUAACACCUGUUUCCAUUCCGAACACAGAAGUGAAGGGCCUCAGCGGCGAGGGUACUGCGGGAUUCGCUCGUGGGAGAGUAGCACGUUGCCGGGA